rnacentral:rRNA from 1 species
UACAGAGGGUGCGAGCGUUGUCCGGAAUCACUGGGCGUAAAGGGCGCGUAGGCGGCCUGAUAAGUAGGGGGUGAAAUCCUGUGGCUUAACUGCAGGGCUGCCUCCUAGACUGUUAGGCUCGAGCACGGUAGAGGCAGAUGGAAUUCCCCGGUGUAGCGGUGGAAUGCGUAGAGAUCGGGAAGAACAUCGGUGGCGAAGGCGGCUCACUGGCCCGUUACCGACGCUCAGGCGCGACAGCGUGGGGAGCAAACAGG